rnacentral:rRNA from 1 species
CACGUAGGGCGCAAGCGUUGUCCGGAAUUAUUGGGCGUAAAGAGCUCGUAGGCGGUCUGUUGCGUCCGCUGUGAAAACUCGGGGCUUAACCCCGAGCCUGCAGUGGAUACGGGCAGACUAGAGGUAGGUAGGGGAGAAUGGAAUUCCCGGUGUAGCGGUGAAAUGCGCAGAUAUCGGGAGGAACACCGGUGGCGAAGGCGGGUCUCUGGGACGGUACUGACGCUGAGACGCGAAAGCGUGGGGAGCGAACAGG